rnacentral:rRNA from 1 species
AUUGAACGCUGGCGGCAUGCUUUACACAUGCAAGUCGAACGGUAACAGGGAGCUUGCUCCGCUGACGAGUGGCGAACGGGUGAGUAAUGCUUAGGAAUCUGCCUAUUAGUGGGGGACAACAUUCCGAAAGGAAUGCUAAUACCGCAUACGCCCUACGGGGGAAAGCAGGGGAUCUUCGGACCUUGCGCUAAUAGAUGAGCCUAAGUCGGAUUGGCUAGUUGGUGGGGUAAAGGCCUACCAAGGCGACGAUCUGUAGCGGGUCUGAGAGGAUGAUCCGCCACACUGGGACUGAGACACGGCCCAGACUCCUACGGGAGGCAGCAGUGGGGAAUAUUGGACAAUGGGCGGAAGCCUGAUCCAGCCAUGCCGCGUGUGUGAAGAAGGCCCUUUGGUUGUAAAGCACUUUAAGCGAGGAGGAGGCUACUAGUACUAAUACUACUGGAUAGUGGACGUUACUCGCAGAAUAAGCACCGGCUAACUCUGUGCCAGCCGCCGCCGUAACAC